rnacentral:rRNA from 1 species
UACGUAGGGUGCAAGCGUUAUCCGGAAUUACUGGGUGUAAAGGGAGCGUAGACGGUAAUGUAAGUCUGGAGUGAAAGGCGGGGGCCCAACCCCCGGACUGCUCUGGAAACUAUGUUACUAGAGUGCAGGAGAGGUAAGCGGAAUUCCUAGUGUAGCGGUGAAAUGCGUAGAUAUUAGGAGGAACACCAGUGGCGAAGGCGGCUUACUGGACUGUAACUGACGUUGAGGCUCGAAAGCGUGGGGAGCAAACAGG